rnacentral:rRNA from 1 species
GACGAACGCUGGCGGCGUGCUUAACACAUGCAAGUCGAACGGAAAGGCCCUGCUUUUGUGGGGUUCUCGACUGGCGAACGCGUGAGUAACACGUGCAUAACCUGCCCUUGAUUUUGGGAUAUUUUCCUGAAACUGGGGCUACUCCCAGCUAGGAGCUCCUCCUGCAUGGUGCUGGUUGGAACGUUUCGGCGGUUGGGGAUGUACUCCCGGCUUCUCAGCUUGUUGGUGGGGUAGUGGCUUACCAAGGCUUUGACGGGUAGCCGGCCUGAGAGGGUGACCAGCCACAUGGGGACUGAGAGACGGCCCAGCCUCGAACGGGAGGAAGCAGUGGGGAACAUUGCACAAUGGGCGGAAGCCAGAGGAAGGAACGCAGCGUGCGGGAUGAGGGCCUUCGGGUUGUAAACGGCUUGCGCAUGUGACGAAGCGUGAGUGACGGUAAUGGGAAAAGAAGGACCGGCUAACUACGUG